rnacentral:sRNA from 1 species
CAAUAGCCCUGAUGGGAGUGAGCACGAGCCAAUUCUUCAUUGGCGGAGUAAAACGGACAGCAGGACAGAAC